rnacentral:tRNA from 1 species
ACACUGGUGGGUCUGUGGUAGAAUUCUUGCCUUCCAUGCAGGAGACCCAGGUUCGAUUCCUGGUCAGUGCA